rnacentral:rRNA from 1 species
UACGGAGGGUGCAAGCGUUAUCCGGAUUCACUGGGUUUAAAGGGUGCGUAGGAGGGCAGGUAAGUCAGUGGUGAAAUCUCCAAGCUUAACUUGGAACUGCCGUUGAUACUAUCUGUCUUGAAUAUUGUGGAGGUGAGCGGAAUAUGUCAUGUAGCGGUGAAAUGACUUAGAUAUGACAUAGAACACCAAAUUGCGAAGGCAGCUCACUACACAAUCAUUGACUCUGAGGCACGAAAGCGUGGGGAUCAAACAGG